CCUUCUUGGCUCAGUUGGCAGAGCGUCUGCCUAGUAAGCAGAAGGUCACCAGUUCAAUUCUGGUAGAAGGCA
rnacentral:tRNA from 3 species